rfam:Schistosoma haematobium scaffold650_5, whole genome shotgun sequence.
GCACUGUUGAAGAGUCCCAUGCUAGAGCGAAACGAUCGUCCAGUAC